AGCAGGCGCGAAACCUUUACACUGCACGCAAGUGCGAUAAGGGGACCCCAAGUGCGAGGGCAUAUAGUCCUCGCUUUUCACGACUGUAAGGCGGUCGUGGAAUAAGAGCUGGGCAAGACCGGUGCCAGCCGCCGCGGUAAUACCGGCAGCUCAAGUGAUGACCGAUAUUAUUGGGCCUAAAGCGUCCGUAGCCGGCCACGAAGGUUCAUCGGGAAAUCCGCCAGCUCAACUGGCGGGCGUCCGGUGAAAACCACGUGGCUUGGGACCGGAAGGCUCGAGGGGUACGUCCGGGGUAGGAGUGAAAUCCUGUAAUCCUGGACGGACCACCGAUGGCGAAAGCACCUCGAGAAGACGGAUCCGACGGUGAGGGACGAAAGCUAGGGUCUCGAACCGGAUUAGAUACCCGGGUAGUCCUAGCUGUAAACGAUGCUCGCUAGGUGUGGCACAGGCUACGAGCCUGUGCUGUGCCGUAGGGAAGCCGAGAAGCGAGCCGCCUGGG
rnacentral:rRNA from 1 species